rnacentral:rRNA from 1 species
UGCCAGCCGCCGCGGUAAUACGGAGGGUGCAAGCGUUAAUCGGAAUUACUGGGCGUAAAGCGCGCGUAGGCGGCUUGGUCAGUUGGGUGUGAAAUCCCCGGGCUUAACCUGGGAACUGCAUUCAAUACUGCCAGGCUGGAGUAUGGGAGAGGGUAGUGGAAUUCCACGUGUAGCGGUGAAAUGCGUAGAUAUGUGGAGGAACACCCGUGGCGAAGGCGACUGCCUGGCCCAAUACUGACGCUGAGGUGCGGAAGCGUGGGUAGCGAACAGGAUUAGAUA